GCAGAACUGCUCUGAGACCAGGGUGAGAUUUCCAGUAGAAUGAAAGGAUUGCUUCUGCUUUAACUUCUGAUGCUUUAUCAAGGCCGAGCUGAGGGCUACACCAUCGGGAGCUUGAUGAGGAAACUGAGGCACAGAGAGAUGAAGGAACUUGCCCAAGGUCACACAGCUGAGGAACCCAGGCACUCAGAUUCUGGGGCCUGCUCUCAUAACCACAAUGCUACAUCCUUGCCUCUAACAUUGGGACAACCAGGCCUUCCUCAUGGACAUUAUCGGGACUAUAAGAUAAGAUGCAUAAGGUUUUAUCUCCAGAGAGAAGGCAGUUAUGGUCCAAGGUCAAACAGAGGCUACAACUAGAAACCUCUAGACCAAAUUUGGUCCAUAUGGUGUUCUCUAUAGAAUUUCUUUCUUUUUAAUUUGGAUUUUCAAUACUUUAAAAUUAAGGGCACACA
rnacentral:lncRNA from 1 species